UGCGGGGUGGAGUAGUCCGGUAGCUCGUCGGGCCCAUAACCCGGAGAUCGCAAGUUCAAAUCUUGCCCCCGCGACCA
rnacentral:tRNA from 1 species